AAUAUGUAUUUAUGUAUGUCUGAGCUUAUGGCGACAUAAAUCUGAAUAUACACAUUUAUGUACAUUCAUAUGUACAUAUGUAUGUUUGUAUGAACAUUCAACCCAAAACAGUUCCCUUAAUUUUGUUUUUGCGGCUGUUUGUCUGCUUUUCCCCUUUUAUUUUCUGCUUCAGCGGACAACAUAAUUCCAAAGGCCAACUCGGCUCAAUUUCUUGAUAAUGAUGAUGCUUCAAUCUGUGCCUGCUCUGUCGCUUAAUGGAGAAAGAAACUGGAUUUUAAAUGAAGGAAUGUAUGUUUGUAUGUACAUACGUGUACAUACAUACGUAUAUACGUAAACAAACAUAUACAUAUAUAUGUAUACAUGUAUGAAAAAGACGAAAACGUUUUUUCCUUUUGGUUUCGAUCCGCUGACUAAUUAAGCCUUUAAAUUUGUACUGGACCAAGAAACAGGAGAGGAAAAUAAAGUCAUUGGGCUCCGCUCCACUAAAGAUACGUGAUAGGAAAACCGGUGCGAUGUCCAUUAUUUCCCAUACAUUUUCGAUCACAUUUAAAUCUGGAGACUGUGCUGGCGUUAUGACGACAUGAGGCAGUUCCAGACAAGCCAAGUCUUCACAAUUGCUGCUGAAUGUUUUGGAACGUUAUCCUGGUAAUACCGAAAUCGAUCGCGUAUGCGAACCUGCAGCAGGUUUUGCUUUAAAAUUUGCUCCAAAUGGAAUGCAACUUUCUGUAGAACUCCGGCAGUUAAUAGUAAAACUGAACUUUAAAGGCAAAACUGUGAGAGAAAUUGCUGAAUUGGUCGGAAAAAGCAAGUCUACUGUCCAUCACAUUAUCAAGAACCAAACUGGUAAAGAUGUUUGCUUGAAUACUGCGUAAUACUUCGCAUAAAUAGGAUUACCAUGACAGAGUUGCCAGGAAAAAGCCUUUUAUCAGCCCCAAGAACAAAAAGUGCAGUGUUUAAUUUGCAAAGGAAUAUUUGCUGAAAACAGGAGAGCUCUGGAAGACGGUUCUAUUUACCGACGGAAGUAAAUUUAAUUUACAUGGCUCAGACAGAAAGAUGUUUGUAUAGCGCAAACUAAACUCCGAAUUCGAGCCGAAAAACACAAAGGCCACAGUAAAACAUGGAGAAUGUUCUGUGAUGGUUUUGGGGCUGCAUGUCUAAUGCUGGAGUGGAACAAUUUAUUUUAUAUCAUUUUUGGCUACCUUAACAUUUAAAACAAUGUAUAGCUUUGUUGUUUACAAUUUUCUUGGGACUUGGUGAUUUUUAAGUACUAUGGAAUUACGGACUUAAAUUAA